CGCAUUUAGUGGAACACCACAUGGAAGUGUAAACAAACGUCAAUGGCUUAUCAGGUUUAAUGGAAUAUUUCCGUAGGAUGAAAAGAAAUAGGAUGUUUGUGCAGAUAUUUUACAAAGUUGCUGUUCGGGAGAUUUAAGUAAAGGCAGGACCCGUCGACCGGACUGCAAGAUUAAUCUCUUCAAAAGGAUGUCAUAGCUUUCCAGGUACUUGAUGGAGUGUGUGGGCAGAAAUGCAGAGUGAUACCAACCAGUCAUCUAAACCACCUUUCCACUCACAGACAAGAGGCUCAGGUGGACAGUCGCUGCAGUUUGUAGCCCUACAAACUUCAGAUACUGCCGAUGGUGUAGAUCCAACGCACCGGGCCAUUUUUCCAGCCAUUUGGAAUUGACAUCUCCAGCCGGCCUAGAGCAAGGAAAAUACGACUGCUUAACAGCACGGACCUCUUUCUUGGAUUGAUGGACUCCAAGAUGACCCCAUAGAUCUGGCCUCAAUUUCUCGAAACUUCUUAAGCUUAACAGGCUUAAGUUGCUUAUUUUAAAUAGCCAAAAUACAUACUUAUAGUAAAUUUCGAUGAAUUAAAAAUAGUUUAUUGUGAUAAACGUAACGAUAAUUCCUAUCUAAAGGAUUACAAAUUUUAAAGGAGUAUAUAAAACGCAAAAUAUUGAAAAAUAAAAAAGUGGGUUUAGCUUAAUCCUGUUAUAAGGCACUUAAGAAGUUUCGAGAAAUUGGGGCCUGGCAAUGACUGUGUCACAUGGACGUUAUAGAUAGUGACUGUAAAGAAAUGAUGAUAGCAGAGAAACGAAACUAUCUUGAUAAGGUUUUCUGGUGUUAAAUCAACAGACAAGGCUGAUUCCAAAGAUACUGACAUUAAAAUGGUUGCAGACGUAGACUGAUCAUAUAUGGCAGAAUUAGUGGAUGUCACCUGGGUGAUUUUUGGCAGUUAGAAACUGUAAAAUCCUGGGCAUAUGCCAUACCCGCGCAACUGAACAGAGACCCUAUAUAUCUGUACGAGCUGUACAGUGAUAAACGCCCUGAAGAAAUGAUGACGGUCCUUUCUUCUUCACCCCUGGUAGAGCUACACAGAAAUGCUGGUUUCGCAAGUUCGGGGUGGGCAUCAAUAAGCUGUACAAGAUAAUGGCAGAAAUGAAGGAAGAUGCCGGAAUUGAGCAGCCUCGCAUAUCAUCAUACAGGUCACUGCAGUGUACCAAUAUCCAGCCGUUGCGAACCAACAUCUUUUCUUUCUGUUAGAGAGGUCGAUGUAGCAUUGCCAGCCUAGUUGCUGAAGCCAUGGAGGUAUUUUCAAGGACAAGAACCUGUGCUGGUCAAUAUGUGGUCAUAUAUGGAAUUCCGUCUCCCGGCAAGUGUUUCCAAGGAAGGAAUACCA